UACGUAGGGUGCAAGCGUUGUCCGGAAUUAUUGGGCGUAAAGAGCUCGUAGGCGGUUUGUCGCGUCUGCUGUGAAAACCUAAGGCUCAACCUUGGGCUUGCAGUGGGUACGGGCAGACUAGAGUGCGGUAGGGGUGACUGGAAUUCCUGGUGUAGCGGUGGAAUGCGCAGAUAUCAGGAGGAACACCGAUGGCGAAGGCAGGUCACUGGGCCGCAACUGACGCUGAGGAGCGAAAGCAUGGGGGGCGAACAGG
rnacentral:rRNA from 1 species